CUUGUACUGUGAGGUGCUUUGAUACUCAAUCAGGUUUUCUCAAUACCAUGUUCCAUCUUAACAGCUAUCAGCCUUUAUUUCUUUUUCCGGUUAUCGUCUGUUUGCAUAAUAGCAAUGUCCAGAAUUAGUAUAGCACUUCUUUUCAGCAUAAGAAGGCUGUUUGCUGUAGUCAUUCAAUGAUAAACUAUAUGGCAAAGUCUUUUCU